rnacentral:tRNA from 1 species
UCUCUGGCGGUCCAGUGGCUAAGACUCCACACUCCCAAUGCAGGGGCCCCAGGUUCGAUCCCUGGUCAGGGAA